AAUGGGUAGGAGAGCGUUGUAUAUGGGGUGAAGCAGCAGCGUAAGCGGCUGUGGACUGUAUAGAAGUGAGAAUGCCGGAAUGAGUAGCGCGAUUUAUGUGAGAAUCAUAAAGGCCGAAAACCUAAGGUUUUUGGAGGAAGGUUCGUCCGCUCCAAGUUAGCCGGGAGCUAAGGUGAGGCUGAAAAGCGUAGCCGAUGCACAUACGGUAGAGAUUCCGUAGCUAACGAAAUUUAAGCGUGGGGACACUUUCGAAGGUUGUAUGCCGGUGGAUGGAAAGCCGGUCGAAAGGGAGACGAGUGAGUCGAAGAUACAAUUGGAGAGAGGCGAGAAAAGCCACGAGGGAUAAUAAGUUACCCGUACCGCAAACCGACACAGGUAGGAAGGAAGAGGAUUCUAAGGCCAACGGGAGAAGGGUUGUUAAGGAACUCGGCAAAAUGUCCCCGUAACUUCGGGAGAAGGGGAGCUGCAGAGAUGCAGUCGCAGAGAAGAGGUCCAGGCAACUGUUUAGCAAAAACACAGGUCUGUGCUAAAUCGAAAGAUGACGUAUACGGGCUGACGCCUGCCCGGUGCCGGAAGGUUAAGGGAAAUUGUGAGAGCAAUGAACCGAAGCCCCGGUAAACGGCGGCCGUAACUAUAACGGUCCUAAGGUAGCGAAAUUCCUUGUCAGGUAAGUUCUGACCCGCACGAAAGGCGUAAUGAUCUGGACGCUGUCUCGACAGCCCGCCCGGCGAAAUUGUAGUACCGGUGAAGAUGCCGGUUACCCGCGACAAGACGGAAAGACCCCAUGGAGCUUUACUGUAGUCUAAUAUUGGGUUUCGAUAUUACAUGUACAGGAUAGGUAGGAGACUGGGAAGCAUGAGCGUCAGCUUGUGUGGAGUCGAUGUUGGGAUACCACUCUUGUGAUAUUGGAAUUCUAACCUGCGGCUUUGAAGCAAGUCGGGGGACAUUGUUAGAUGGGCAGUUUGACUGGGGCGGUCGCCUCCGAAAGAGUAACGGAGGCGUUCAAAGGUUAGCUCAGCAUGGACGGAAACCAUCUUAAAGAGUGCAAACGCAGAAGCUAGCCUGACUGUGAGACUGACAGGUCGAACAGAGACGAAAGUCGGAGUUAGUGAUCCGGUGGUAUGUGAG
rnacentral:rRNA from 1 species